CGGUGUUCAACUGGCGUGUCCGCGGGACGUCCUGCCGGUGGGCUUAGCCCGCAGGGGCGGCCCAACUUCAAAUCCCAUCGCGGUGCUCUUCACUGAGUGUCGAGGUGGGCCGGCACGUUUACUUUGAACAAAUUAGAGUGCUUAAAGCAGGCUAAAACUUCCCCUGAAUACUGUGUGCAUGGAAUAAUGGAAUAGGACCUCGGUUCUAUUUUGUUGGUUUUCGGAACCCCGAGGUAAUGAUUAAUAGGAACGGAUGGGGGCAUUCGUAUUGCGACGUUAGAGGUGAAAUUCUUGGAUCGUCGCAAGACGGACAGAAGCGAAAGCAUUUGCCAAAAACGCUUUCAUUGAUCAAGAACGAAAGUUAGAGGUUCGAAGGCGAUCAGAUACCGCCCUAGUUCUAACCAUAAACGAUGCCAGCUAGCGAUCCGUCGACGUUCCUCCGAUGACUCGACGGGCAGCUUCCGGGAAACCAAAGCUUUUGGGUUCCGGGGGAAGUAUGGUUGCAAAGCUGAAACUUAAAGGAAUUGACGGAGGGGCACCACCAGGAGUGGAGCCUGCGGCUUAAUUUGACUCAACACGGGAAACCUCACCAGGCCCGGACACCGGAAGGAUUGACAGAUUGAGAGCUCUUUCUUGAUUCGGUGGGGUGGUGGUGCAUGGCCGUUUUUAGUUGGUGGAGCGAUUUGUGUGGUUAAUUCCCAUAACGAACGAGACUCUAGCCUGCUAACUAGGCGUAUUUUCGACAUCUCAAAGGUCCGUCGUCCCGGCCCUCGGGUGGUGGGCGUGCGCGAUUUUUACUGUCGGCGUACUAUCAAUUCUUCUUGAGGGACAGGCGGGUGCUAGCCGCACGCGAGGAGCAAUACCAGGUCAUGAUGCCCA
rnacentral:rRNA from 1 species